rnacentral:rRNA from 1 species
GAGGGUAACUAGAGUGCGGGCUUUGCCUGCCAUCUCUUACCCAUGUCUUUUGAGUACCUUACGUUUCCUCGGCGGGUCCGCCCGCCGACUGGACAAUUUAAACCACUUGCAGUUGCAAUCAGCGUCUGAAAAAACUUAAUAGUUACAACUUUCAACAACGGAUCUCUUGGUUCUGGCAUCGAUGAAGAACGCAGCGAAAUGCGAUAAGUAGUGUGAAUUGCAGAAUUCAGUGAAUCAUCGAAUCUUUGAACGCACAUUGCGCCCCUUGGUAUUCCAUGGGGCAUGCCUGUUCGAGCGUCAUUUGUACCUUCAAGCCUUGCUUGGUGUUGGGUGUUUGUCUCGCCUCUGCGCGUAGACUCGCCUCAAAACAAUUGGCAGCCGGCGUAUUGAUUUCGGAGCGCAGUACAUCUCGCGCUUUGCACUCAGAACGACGACGUCCAAAAGUACAUUUUUACACUCUUGACCUCGGAUCAGGUAGGGAUACCCGCUGAACUUAAGCAUAUCAAAA